AAUAAAUUCGCAUUCUUAUGUACGAUACGAUGUAAUAAAUUCGCAUACGCAUUCUCUCUGAAACCACUGGUAGCUUAAAAAACGACAAUUCACCGGUUAAUGUUGAAUUUAAACAACCGUCCACUGUACAGUUAUAAUAACUUUUUGUUUUGUUUCUCCAUUAUUGCACAAAAAAGUUCACAGACGCGUGUCUCAAGCGGAUGGCACUCGCGCUCGCACUGGUCCCAACUGGUCCGAGAUAUCGUGUCCGUGAGCAGUGUCUAUGUGUGCGUUGCUUGAGCGCGCUUUGUAUGUAGAUUGAUUUCUGUACCUAUCUCUUUUGUGGCCCGACGGUGUGGAAGUGUAAUAAGCGCUUAUAAUGUACAUAACGUCAAGGAAUAGUUGACUCACCCAUUUUUUUAGUAGUUGUGACGUGGCUUCGCCAGUCUCCUUUGUGUCUUUUGAGAGUGUGUGGUACAUGUAUGGUAACGAAUAUUGUCAGCUAGAGGUCGGUUCUGUAACUUCCAACAACUUCUGUAAACAGGAUUGUCGUCCGUACAAACAUAGCUAACGUAAUGUUACAUUUUAAGUAAAAAUUAAGGAUGACUCACGCUAGACCGGGCGGGAUCCGAGCCGAGGCGUUCGACACGUCAUUUUCUAUGACGGCUGAUCGGUGUUCACGUGGUGCUUUCCAUAUAAAACGAAGCGCUGGUACUCCGGCUCGGUCUCAGCCCUGUCUCAUAGCGUGAGUCAUCCUUUAUGGUGAUCUCCUUAUUAGAAAUAUAAGGACUAAAUAUAUCCUGUCACAAGUGUAACAGGAUAAUUUCUGCUGAGAGGGACAGCUCUUGUUAGCAGAAAGUAUCCGGUAGCAGAAAAGGUAUAAUCGAGAUGAUUCCUCCGACGAUCUCACUCCUCACAUUUUUUUUAGACAGAAUAGCAUAAUAAAUAGCUAGUAUUUAUUUGUGACUAUAUCCUAGAGCCUCAGCGCCCGUUUUUGUACCCGUUUACUAUCUGUGAAUUAUGUAGAAUAUUGUAAAAUAUAGGUAGUAGGCAAUAUAAAUUGUGACUACCUGAUAGUUAUAUGUUUUUUUUUAUAAUCAGGCAGACCACUAAGCUUAUACUGUUUAACUUAGGUAUUUUUAGACACUCGCGCGACUUGUAGGUACCUAUACAAACACCACCACCAGACCAGUACAAACGGCAAAUAUCAAUUUACGCUUUUCCUACUGACAUAUUGGUUUGCCACUUACAAUUAUAAUGUACCUACCUGAAAUAUGCUUACAGUAUCGAUUGCAAUGUAUUAUUAGUUACUGCAAUAAAGAAUUUGUAUUUCCAGUUCGAUUGUCAAAGGCUCCAUUAGUAAGUACCUAGGUGAUCAUAGGUCCUAGAUCCGGAUCAUCCGGGGGCUUACGAGAACUUGCUUACUCGUCGAGAUAUGACGAGUAUAUUGUAUUUUAAAUUGUUAAAAGAUUUUUAUAGUACUUUUUGUUGUGUUGCUGUAACUUUGUUAGUGGAUUUGUUUAAAAUUACUGUUAAAUGUUAUAAAAUUUGGUAAAUAAAGUAAUUUAACCAUUUUAAAA